rnacentral:lncRNA from 1 species
AAGGAAAACAAAACAAAACAAGCACAAAAAAAACCCGCAAAACAAUCACAUCUCCACCGCGUGUUGAAGCUCCUCUCUGCAAUUCUGCAUCUCCAGGGAAGAUAGUGACAUCAGGUCCAUGAAAAUAACUCUCAGAAUGCAUGUUGCUGAAAACCUUGUAAGCGAGUUAAAAAGAAAAUCUGAACAGUGAAAAAGCAAUGUAUAAGUGAGAUUAAUAAGACUCCAGCUGAAAAGUGAGUUUCUUAAAAAUAUAUGACUGUCCUACAAAAAGAAUGCAUAAGAGGUAGAAAAAUUAUG